UCGAGGUCAUGUAAUUCCUAAAAUGAAAAAAAUUAUGCACGUAAGGUCAAUCAUGCCAAUGCAUUGAAAAUGUAAAUCAAGAACUAUUCCUAAACCCAAUAUCAAACAAGCUAGAAAGCAUAGAAGAAUGGAAGUUAAAGGAACAAGAAUAAAUUUAUCCAGAUGCAAUUUAGACAACGAAAUUGGAACAAAAGAGAUAUAAAUCUUGCAAGAAAGUUAAAAGAAAGUAGUAACACUAAUUCUAAUUUGCAAGACCAAAGAACAAAUAUAAAAAUUGAAACUGAAAUCAGAGAAAAAGAACAUUUCCCAUGAGCUAUUACCGUGAAAGCAAGGCAAUAAAUCCAAAGAGAAUAGCACUUGCUUUUGAAAUCCAAAGAGAAUAGCACUUGUUUGGUAGGUUCAAAACAGGACUAAUCCAAAUAGCAUUGGCAUAAACUAAUUGCCCCAUAAACUAUUGUUACGUAUGGUAUAAAGAAAAUGGGCUAACCUUACAUACAUACACCAUAAUAUGCAUUAGUUUAUUUUUUGGAAGGAAGGGAGAUAUGGCUUUCGUAACAAUUUUGCACGUCAGUUUUUUUUUUUUUUUUUUUUUUUUUUUUUUUUUUUUUAUCAAGCAAGAGAUCAGGUCCCAAGCAUUAACAUACAACAAAAGAGUAAAAUGGAAUCUGUACAUUUUUCUGGAAAGUGCCGAACCAAGACUGCUGAAAUCAGAAUAUUCAAGCUUAACACAACGUUUGGUUUGAUCCAAUGAUACUACAGGUCACUAGGAUUCCAUAGAAGGGAAAAGUAUGGUGCAAUAUUAAAUAAAAACCAGUAGCCUUUAUUCAAUCAAAGGAACUUGAAAUGAGUGGAACGGUUCCACAAAACCAUAAGCAUAAAAGGAAAUGGUUCAAUAAUUAAGUCCAUUAAGAUUUAUAUUACAUGCCAAGACAAACAUAAUUUUGGAAGUAUGAUUAGAAUGUACCUGACUUGUGAUCCUAAUUCUCUAUUUAUAGAUCAUCAUAAGCUCAAUAAAAUAUAAACAGAAUUAGUAUAAAAACAACCAAAUGAACAAAACCGACCUUACCUGCCUAUCUUUACCUGUGUAUCUGGUCUUACAUCUGUUUGUAUAUUCUUCAUAUUAGAUAUUCUCGAAUCAUUUUACCGUUAUUUGGGCUUUUGGUCCAUUUAGACAAUCACGGGCCCAAUUGCGACUUUUCCUGCACUAUUUUAUUUCGUGUUGACUUUGACUGGACCGUUCAGUUUUACUAGAUAAUCAUUUGGUCGUAAUAUCAUACCGUACAUCAUCCCCCAAGUCCGAGUUAACCGUUCGGCUCCUUUGUUAGGUUAACUGUAGGACUUUGAAGUGGUUCUGAUAAUGAGGUGUCCUUUCUACGCACCGUUUUGUGAUGUCGUUUCAUUUCCAAGUAAUAAUUUAGCUUUUCCCGCCUUUGGGAUAGUGGCAGAGUCGCGAGAACGGAACCAUUAGAUCUUCCUUAUCUAACGGUGCAAAUUUCAUAGCGGUCAUGUCAGCUUUCCACAUUAAUGCAAUGGGCUUUUUGAAAAGACUCUGGUUACCCAAACCGUCAUUUUUGUGCCUUCACUCGCCGAGAGCCUUUCGAACUCCUUUCAACCUUUGCAAGCAUUUCCAACUACUCAUUUUCUUUCAGGUAACCAUGGCUUGCCUUGCUUAUUUAGAUUGUCCUUCGUCACUUGUUGAGGAAAGAGGGUGCGGGGACUUGACUGGUGCAUCGGGGAGUUCUCAAGCUGAGGUCGCCAAUGUUAUUUCUUCGGUGCUUAGUGGAGAGAGGGCCUUCGUUUAUGGUGGUGUCGCCGUUAAGGAUCCUGAGAACCUUUUUUCUUCUUCCUUUGUUGAUUAUGAGUGGGCUUCACACGACGUAAGUGAAUACCCUAGUGUUUUCGUUAGUAAAGCCGUUUUGUUUAAUGAUUAUUAAAAUAUAUAAUAACUACCUAUUUUCACCAAUUUUUUUCUUUUCUUCUUUUUUUUAAUUUCAAAAUUAAGUAAACUUAAUUUCUUUUUAAAAUUAUUAAAUACCAAACAAAUAUGAUUCCUCUGAAUAAAAAAUUGAUACCAUAGAACAAAAGCCCCUGAGUAGGAAGGAAUUUAGAAAAACAAAUUGAGAAACAAUUGUAUGUUACAACAAGAUAGGCUAGAAGUCAAUGUAAUCUCAUUGCAAAAAUAGUUACAAAGAAAGAAAUGUUACCCAAUUCAUAAUAAACUAGGUAUAGUUUUAUCCUAAAACAAUAUCAUAAACUUCCUAAAGAUUACUUCCAUCAGAUGAUUGUCUUGUUCGCAAAGGAGACUCUGACUCAUUUGCAUAACGAGCUUGCUGAAAUAAUAUAAAACAUAUUAAUAAAAUAAAAUCAAUUACAUGUGCUCACAUUUUGAAAAUAAUAUAUAAAAAAUCAAUCAAAUAGAAUAAACAUGUUCUAUCAAUCAAAUAGAAUAAACAUAUUCUGUCAAAUAGAAUAAACAAUAGAAUACAAGUUAAAGUAGUGACAAUCUCUGGGCCCAAUGUUUGUUAAUAUUAGAACUGCAAUCAGACCAAACCCAUAAAAAAGGGGUUUCCAAAAAGAACAUAUACAUGACCUAUCCUUGUGUUGUGUCCCAUAUACGUUUAUCAGUAUUGGUGUUCUGUCCCACGACUUGCAGAAACCAUGGUCAGACAGUGUUUGUGAUGAACAAUACACUAAUAGAAUCAUUUCAGACUUUUAAUCAAGUUUGGAAUAUCUAUAUGCAUAUUAAACUACUGCAGUUACUACUUUACACCAUAUAUAAAAUGCAAUGGACCAGUACUUCUCACACUAUGCAUAUAAAUCUUACUGCAACAAUCAAUAAAGCUAACUACAACACAGAUACAGACAACAACAACCUAAUUCUCACACUAUGCAUAUAAAUCUUACUGCAACUAGGGGUGGGCAAACUGCAAUAUCUAUACUGUAUUAUAUCCAAAUUAUAAUUAACUAUAAAAUAAUUUAAAGAAACUGAAUUGAACUAAAAAUUAGUUCAGAGAAACUGAUCUGAACUUAAUUUUAGUGCAGUUCAUGCAGUACAAUUCAGUAAACUGCUUAAGAUCAAAGCCACAUUUUUCAUCACACGCUGGACCGUCCUCCUCUGGAUCCUCUCCUGUUCCCCUGUCACGCGGUCUCCCAGCACCUCCCCUUCUCCGACCACCUCCUCCUCCCCCGCCGCGCCCGCCUCUUCUCCGCCCACUCCCUCGCUGACGUCCAGUUUUUCCUCGACUACUCUCUCUUCGGCGACGGCCUCCCGCCCUCACCCUCUCCCCCCGCCGGCAACUCCAUCGACUCCUUCUGGAACUCAGGUGCGUCCUCCUCCGGUUCCCGCUCCACGGUGUCGUUUUGCGUUUUGCGUUUUGUUCCCCCUUUUCUCCUUCGUUCUUCCACUGCUCCUAGGCCAAGGUUUUUCAAUCUCUUUUGAAAGGGAAAUGGAAAAGCGUAUUCUCUUUCCAACGAGAAGCGUAGGAUGGUGGAAGAGGCUUCAACAGUGCGGUGACGGUAGAGUGUGGCGACGACAGAGUGCGACGACAGCAGAGUGCGGUGACAACAGAGUGUGGCAACGGCAAAGUGUGGCAAAGCCUUCCGCGGCGAGUCUUCGACAAUAGUGCGACAGUCUUCAACGGAGAUAGGAAAUAGAAAAACCGAACUCUAAUUGAGAAAAAUAGAAAAAUUGAUCCACAGUUAACUGAACUCAAAAUAAAAAAAAGUUCAGUAACUUUAAACUGAACUAUUAAUCAGUAUAAAUAGUUUUAAGUAAAAGUAGUUUAAGUUUUUUAAGUUUAAAAAAGUACAGAUAAACUGUAGUUUAAGUUUUUAACUUAACUGUGCCCAGCCCUAACUGCAACCAUCGUACUUAGAACUUAUCAACAUCUGUAAACUGAUUUCCUAUAUUCAAUUGCAUGUGCUCACAGUAAACAGGUAUACAUUUCUAUCAAACUAAUAGAAAUAAUAUUUUGUACGUUACUGUUAGGGAUCAAUAACAGUUGUCAAUAGACUAAGCUUAACCACACAAAGAAAUUAAUAAUCUAGCUAUGAAUGAUUUAUGAUAUCAAUUGGAAUCUUUAGGAAGUACGACAACUUCCUAAAGACAUUAAUAAUCUAGCUAUGAAUGAUCAGUAAGAGCGAUAACUAACUACUCCGGUUAUGUUUUUAGAUAUCAUGUAUCCAUCUCGUAUUCAUGACUUCCUAUUUAAUCAUAACUUCAUAUUUAGUUAUCUCUCACACGUCUCGUAGACUCAUGCUUAGAAUUAAUUCUUCUUUAUUUAAAUGUUAAAUGGCUUUCUGGUAGUAAACUAAGGAAAAAAUGUGAAACAAAACAGUGUAUUCAAAUUAUAAUCAGACUCUCCUUGGCCACAACCAAAUGAAUUUUGAAAUAAAAAAUGUAGAAAAUUACAUCAGACUCUCCAUGGUCCAACAUAAGUUUUGGACUCUUUUUUCCAUCUUUUAAACCAUUUUUGGCAAUGCAGCAGUGGUGUUCCAAAACUACAACUUAUACGCACGCAAACCAAACGAAAUUCAGAAGAACUUGUUCACUGCGCAAGGCAGAGAGGAUACUAACAAAAAUCACCUAUUGGGUAAAAUACUAAAAUAGAAUCAAUCUAAACUUGCAAAAACUAGCAUCACAAUAAUUGACAAAUGCCAAAUCCAGAUUCAGAAUUAAACUCGGUAACCAAAGAUGUAAGUACCUAAACUACACUAACACAUAUCUGUCAAUGAUCUAAUAACUGAAAAUUAACUUUGUAAAAUUUACAAGUUCAUCUCAUGCAAUCAGAUUCAAGAAAAUCAAUUCUGAAAUAACAAUCGCACAUAUGAAUGAUAAUCUAUGCCAUCCAGCCAAAUACAUUGCACAUAUGAAUGAGUUAGGAUCUUAUUACCUUUCCAAAUGAGAGAACGAGCUAAUAAAGAGUCACAAUUCAGAUUGUAAUACUUAAAAGAGAAACCUGCAACAUCAAUUAAGUAGUGUUUUGUUAUGGCAAUAAAAAUCAUACUUUUGCGCAACAAAAAUUCGCUGAUAAAUGUAUAUUAUUACUAUGUCAUCAUUACUAUUUGCAUCUUGAUUUUGAAAAGUCUACAAGUCUAAAAGAAACUAAAGAGAAAGAUCCAACAUUUGGGCCAUCAUCAUUGAAUUCCAUCGUCUUUAUAUUACCUGUCCUUGACGCAUGUGUUUCCAAUCCAAUUAUCCUCACCUAUGCGAACAUCACUAUCAAUUUUUUCAUACAGUGCUUAUGUAUCAAUAGGACUCGGUCUGAAUGUGAUUAAGGAGUUCUAUGUUUAAAUAAUACUUUUGUUUUUCAGUAAACAAAUAUUAUUAAAAUGAAAACAAAAAAAUAAAAUAAAAAUGAUAGGAGGACAAGAUACACCCAGGCAACAAAGACGAAAAUGAAAAGACUUGAGAUACAGAGGUCAUUACCACAUUCAAUCUGGAUAAAGAGAAUUAAUAAUAUUUUUAAUAAAACUAGUAUAAUUCUUUAAUGAACUUGACGUAUCCAGUUGAAAGAUUGGAUGAAAUAGAGAAAACAGUUUAUGCAGUAGCAGUACAACAUUAUCAUAACAAUUUGUGAUGCUUGAUAAUUUUGUUGACUUUAAUAAUCACUACAUCAAAAUUCAUACCUACCAUCACUUCUGAUUGAUUACCAGAGUAAGAGUUUUUACAUUGACAGUGCUUAGAAAUUAAACUAAUGAAACUAAAAAGACAAUAUACUUGCUAAUUAAUUGAUAAAAUAUUAAUAUACCACUCACCUUCAUUCAGUGUGUGAUACAACCUAAGAACAUCUACACCAGAAUAGAAAGCUCUGCCACAACCCUUCAAAGCAUUCAAUAUAGAAACUCAAACUCAACAGAAUACCAAUUCCAUAAACAUAGUAAAAAGAAAAUUAUUAUGAAUUACAAUAUAAUUAUGUCAUUUAGUUCAAUGGUAACUUAGUGGCGUGAAAANAACAGUGAUACCUUCAUCAAAACAAAUCCAAUGUNAGAGUAAUCUAAGGNCCAAAUAAAUAAUGAGGUGUUUUAAAAUUGUAACUUGAAAAGGCAAGCUAGCUCUCAACCACUGUGAGAUCUCAUUUGAAAGAGGUUUUAAAAUUGUAACCUGGAAGAGGAAACCUAGGUUUAAUGACGGUAAACCCUAGCGAUGAUGAGCGAUGACGCACAAUGGAGGACUUCAUGGCGACUGCAACUGACAACGCAACGGUGAGCGCAACGACGACCAUAGCAGCAACCACAACGACGACUGCAACUGAGGACUCCAUGGCGACUGCAACAGACGACGCAGCGGCGAGGACAACGACGACCGUAGUGGCGAGCAAUGGCGACCGCAGCGGUGAGGCAAUUGUAAGCGCAGCAGAGACGGUACGACGACCGCAACGACGAAGACGUUGAACCGUAGAUCGACGCUACCUAACGAGACCUAAAAAUGAUGAUGAUUUGAGUACGAACUGAGUUGUUUGCAGGGGAAAAACGAAAACCUUGCACGAGUUUAGGGAAAGCAAAGAAAAUGUGAGGGUUUGGAAAAUUUUAGGGAAAAGAAAUGCAACUUUCGAUUUUGAAAAGGGGGAAAGUAUGAGAGGGAAGAUAGAUUUGGAAAAUUUUGGAUACAGAGGGAAGUUAGAAACUGAAAAAUUGUAUUUUAAAUUUUAGAUGACAUAAACCUCCUCCAAAUAAUAUUAAAACCCCCCACAAUCAGGACUUAAUUAAAUCCUUUUAAUUAUUUUAAAUAAUUUUAAUUUGCGGAGGGUUUUUAUAACCCCCACAAUAUAACCUCUGCCUAAUAAUAUUUUAUUUGUAGUGAUGAAAGAGUUUUCCAUGGUAGAGAGAGCUCAGGGGGGAAUUUUUUCUAUUUCUAUUAGUGCAUGUUCUUUGAUAUUUAUCUUAGGUUACCCUUCACCGCUUUCCAAAUGAACAUUUUGAGAACCUUAAAUGUAGUCCCUACGCAGCUUCAUCCGAAUAGUUGGAGUUACAUUCAGGCGUUCGCCGUCAUGUGUCAAACCUUGGCUAUCAGACCGACGGUCGCUUUAUUUCUUUACUUCUUUAGGACACGUCCUAAUGCCAAGAGGGGUUGGAUGUCCUUGAGUUCCGAACCUAGGAACGCAAUUUUAAAACUGUUCACGAGUCUUUCAAAGACUUCAAAAAUCAAUUUUUUAAAGUUUCUAUCACCGAGUUGGGCCGUCCUUUCUUCUUUCAUGAGGAUGAUAGCCCUAGGUUCCCCUUAUAUUGGACCCAAGAACCCCGUACGAUGACAUCUUGGCCCAAGGAAAAGAUGACUGACGCUGAUUGGAGGCCUUAGGUGUAUUGGUUGAGUUACCCCGCCCGUUUUCCUCUCGAAAGAUAAUCAACUGUCUUGAGCAUGAUGAUGUCAAUUCGAGGGUGUUUGGUAUGUUCUUUUAUUGGUUGAUAGCAUAGUAUAAGCCAAAGCAAUCAGUAAAAGAACAUACCAAACACCCUCGAAUUGACAUCAUCAUGCUCAAGACAGUUGAAUAUCUUCCGAGAGGAAAACGGGCGGGGUAACUCAACCAAUAAGGAGCGUCGGUCAUCUUUUCCUUGGGCCAAGAUGUCAUCAUACGGGGUUCUUGGAUCCAAUAUAAGGGGAACCUAGGGCUACCAUCCUCAUGAAAGAAGAAAGGACGGCCUAACUCGGUGAUAGAAACUUUAAAAAAUUGAUUUUUGAAGUUUUUGAAAGACUCGGUGAAUAGUUUUAAAAUUGCGUUCCUAGGUUCGAAACUCAAGGACACCCAACCCCUCUUGGAGUUAGGACGUGUCCUAAAGAAGUAAAGAAAUAAAGCGACCGUCGGUCUGAUAGCCAAGGUCUGACACAUGACGGCGAACGCCUGAAUGUAACCCCAAUUGUUCGGAUGAAGCUGCGUAGGGGCUACAUUCAGGGUUCUCAAACCGUCCAUUUGGAAAGCGGUGAAGGGUAACCUAAGAUACAUAUCAAAGAACAGGCACGAAUAGAAAUAGAAAAAACCCCCCGGAGUUCUCUCUACCGUGAAAAACUCUUUCAUCUUCCCUACAAACAAUCAAUUUCACAGCAGAACCAUAACCUAGGGUUCUGAGGACACAUCUAUUGUUCGCCCAAUCUAAUAAAACGACUUUACUAAUGAAAACACUAGGGUAUUCACUUACGUCGUGUGAAGCCCACUCAUAAUCAACAAAGGAAGAAGAAAAAAGGUUCUCGAAACGACGACACCACCAUAAACGAAGACCCUCUUUCCAUUAAGCACCGAAGAAAUAACCUUGGCGACCUCAGCUUGAGAACUCCCUGAUGCACCAGUCGGGUCCCCGCGCCUUCUUUCCUCAGCAAGUGACGAAGGACAAUUUAAAUUAGCAAGGGAAGCCAUGGUUACCUGAAAGAAAAGGGGUACUUGGAAAUGCUUGCAAAGGUUGAGAGGAGUUCAAAAGGCUCUCGGCGAGUGAAGGCACAAAAAUGACGGUUAGGGUAACUAGAGUCUUUUCAAAAAGCCCAUUGCAUUAAUGGGAAAUACUAACAUAAUUGCUAUGAAAUUUGCAACGUUAGAUAAGGAAGAUCUAACGGUUCCGUUCUCGCGACUCUACCACUACCCCAAAGGCGGGAAAAGCUAAAUUAUUACUUGGAAAUGAAACGACAUCACAAAACGGUGCGUAGAAAGGACACCUCAUUAUCAGAACCACUUCAAAGUCCUACAGCUAACCUAACAAAGGAGGCGAACGGUUAACUCGGACUUGGGGGGAUGAUGUAUGGUAUGAUAUUACGACCGAACGAUUAUCUAGUAAAACCGAGCGGUCCAGUCAAAGUCAAUACGAAAUAAAAUAGGGCAGGAAAAGUCACGAAUGGGCCCGUGAUUGUCUAAAAAGGCCAAAAGCCCAAAUAACGGUAAAAUGAUUCGGGAAUAUCUAAUAUGGAGAAUAUACAAACAUAUUUAAGACCGGAUACACAGGUAAAGAUAGGUAGGUAAGUUCAGUUUUGUUCAUUUGGUUAUUUUUAUACUAAUUCUGUUUAUAUUUUAUUGAGCUUAUGAUAAUCUAUAAAUAAAGAGCCAGGGGCACAAGGCAGGUACGUUCUAAUCAUACUUCCAAUUCACGUUCUAUUUAUUCAAACAUUAGCCCUACUCUCUACUUUCAUAUACUAAGAAUAAUCAAAUUAAGAAUCGAGGUUCUUCUACUACACGCCUACCUUGGGCGUCCGAGUGCCAUUGCAGAUACCUCCCCCCUCCAAUCAAAGAUCGAAGUCUACUGAACGGUCAAGGCUAAAGGAAAACGAGCAGUUGAGAUUUAGGAAAAGCGAGCAAUUCAAUCAAUCAAAGCGUGAGAAAGCUAGAAAGUCGUGUCCACCAGGUCAGUCUCUUUCUAUCUAUUGUUGAAUUUUAUUUCCAACAUCAUCUAGCUCACAUCUUAUCAAUAAUUUUUAUAUGGCAAGGCAACAAUAUAAGCCAAGCAACAACAUUGUCAUACAAGAAUCAUUUUACAGAUCAAACAUUGUAAGUAUUCACACAUAGAUUAGCUCCCCUACAUACAAUCUCUUUUAACACAGUACAUAUAUAAUAGAUCAAACAUUACCAGGCAUUCAUUCCAUCCAGACAUAGAUUAGCUCCCCUACACACAAUCCUUUUUAACAUACAUUCAAGUAUAUCAUCAACUCAUACAAACAAUUCUUUUUAACAUAUAAUCACGCAUAUCAUUCCUACAACAGAGCAUGUCCCAUAUACUUCCAGUUUUAGAUUAUUGCAAACUAUCACUACAACCCAAUAACAUCACCAAAACACACAGUAUUUCAGAUAUUAUUAUAUUAAACAAGCCAACAGUUAACACAACAAUUCAGAUAUUAACAAGCCAAUAUUGGUUUAGCUCCCCAUACCUAAAUUUUGAUUCCUCUUCACAAGUAACACAUACUACCACCGAACCCCGUCACUCUCUCAGCCCUCUCUUUCACUCUUAGGUUUCUCAACAUGCUUGAUUGGAUGUCUCUAUUCUUCCUUCUUCCGCCCCUUUUUCAGGUUUCAUUUAAAGCCCCAAUUUGGAUCCUCGAAACACUAAAAUCAUGAUCAGCAUCCUCUGAUUCCAUCUUCCCCUUUUUAAUACUCUUAUUUUGUUUCUCUUUGAAUCAUUGAAUGCUUCCUCAGGCUGUUAUGCUCCUCCUGACCUUAGGAUUUACAAAACCAAAAAGAAAAUAGAAGAAAGAGAAGAGAGAAGUAGUAUCGGAAGAGACGUGAAAGUGCAGAGUGGACGGAAGAUGGAAAACAAGUGAUGAAGGCGCCACGAAAUAAAUUAGGGCAGGCUGGGAAAUAUUAAUACUUACCGAUGGUUUGAUAAAAUAACUGCCGGAAAUAUCUUCAAAAAAUUAAAAAAUAAAAUAUAUUUUAGUUGCCUUUUGACUUGAAACCGCCGAAAAAUUUAAAGAAAAAUAAUAAUAAAAAA
rnacentral:lncRNA from 1 species